AGCCCAUGAUGAUGACAUAACCUUAAUAUUUCCUUAAAUCACUUUUAUACUUUGUAGAGGGAAUCUUCAUCCUUAUUAGUAAGACUAGUAAUUUGAUUUAUUAGUU